rnacentral:rRNA from 1 species
CAGCAGCCGCGGGAAUACGAAGGGGGCUAGCGUUGUUCGGAAUUACUGGGCGUAAAGCGCACGUAGGCGGAUAUUUAAGUCAGGGGUGAAAUCCCAGAGCUCAACUCUGGAACUGCCUUUGAUACUGGGUAUCUUGAGUAUGGAAGAGGUAAGUGGAAUUCCGAGUGUAGAGGUGAAAUUCGUAGAUAUUCGGAGGAACACCAGUGGCGAAGGCGGCUUACUGGUCCAUUACUGACGCUGAGGUGCGAAAGCGUGGGGAGCAAACAGGAUUAGAUACCCCCGUAGUCCCUGUCUCUUAUAC